AGACGCCCAGCCGCAUAAAGUCGAUAUUCCCGCUUUUAUCCUGACAUGCGCCGAAGAGCGUCGCCGCGCAACUGCGGCACCCACACACACACCCUAGUGCUAUGCGCUCCUGUAGCCGUUGUUCGUUUGUACUUACAUACCUGUCAAAAAGUAGCAAAGUGUGCGAUGCAGGCCGUCAGCCGCGGAGGAACGCAAUAACAAACAAACAAAAGGGGUUGGCCACUGCAUCAUCAGUGUCGGAGCCAUGCGCGUCUUUCAUUUUCAUCGCGUUUUUCAGCGGAAAAAUUGAUAGAUAAGUGAAACGAGAUGUCGGAGAAUGGCAAACAGCUAUCCUUGGUCGAUGAUACUAUAUCGACCGAAGAUGACAUACCUGGAUCGUCGAUUAGUUUUAGUAUUGGAGAGAAUUCUAUUCGUGUCAAAGAGAAGCCAAAACCAAAAUCUGUAAAAGAGCCAGAUCCACCACCAGUUGCAGAUAAGAAACAGCAAUGGUGGCUCAAGAAACCUACAACACAGCUAGACAUAGGUAAUGAGAAAAAUGCAGAAGUCAAAAAAGCGGAAAGUCCAGUUUUGUCUGAUCCAAGUUCUUCUAUGAAGGACUUUUUGGACAAAGAAAAAAUGUGUAAAAAGGAUGAAGCUAGAGCAAAUAAGAAGGAUGAUACUUUACAGGAUAUACUCGCAUCUGUUGCAUUUGACAAAUACCAAUCAGAUUUUGAUAAUGCAACAGAUGAAGACAUUGGAAGUAUUUUAGAAGAAAUGAGUAAAAUAGCAGGGACUCUGAGUCCAGUGGCAGAAAGUGUUAAAUCCAAAACUAUCAAUGAGAUAUUGACAGAGGAAGAGAGAUCUGUGGAAGAGUUACUCCAGGAAGCUGAGAAAUUAGUGCAACAAAAUGGUAGCAAUCUCUUAAAAGGUGUCUUAAAUACAGAUAUAACGGUUCCUGAUGAAAAUAAUACCACAGACAAAGGUUUGACUAAGCAACUAGAAGUAGAUAUAUUCAAAAUGAUAGAGGAACAAGCUAACCAAGAUAGCAGCACCAACAGUGAAAAAAGAAGAAGCUUAAGUCCAUCUAUCGAAGUUUUAUUUGAAAAUAUAACUUCUCAGAAAACAUUAGAAGCUCAAAAGAAAAAAUUUGAGGAACAAAAGAUUGAAGUAUCAAGUAGUUCGGAUUUGGAUGAUCCCAUAGAGAGACAUUCAGUGUCUGAAGAUAUAAAUGAUGAAAAAAAAGCUAAUGAUAAAAAGGAAAGUCUCAAAAAAGAAAUCACUGAUGUGGAUAAGGAUUUUUUUGACGUCUUGAUCAAGAAAACUAAAGAAAGUGCUGAGAAUCUCUCAAGUCGAAGUUCAAGCUUUGAUCAAGAAGACUUUACGCAGUUUUUGAAACUCCUUCAAGAGCAAAGUGACAAAGAAGGGGGAACCUUAUCUAAAGCAAGUUCAUUAAAUUUAAUAGUUGAUCAGUUUGAUCCUUUAAAAGAGAAAUCCGCAAAUAAUGAUGAAAGAGUAUUUUUAGAAAGAGAGCUAAUCAGUGUUGAAUCAAAGAAAAUAGUAUAUGAACUAGAGUCACCAGUCUGUCAACCAGCUUCAAUAGGAGCAUCAAAAAUGGAAAAACUACUCGAAGAGAGUUCGAGAAAGGAAUCUAGUAGAGAUUCUUCUAAAAGAAGCAGUGCAAGUGCCAAGAGUUCUGCAGUAGAUACCAAGAGAGUAGUAAAUAACAAUAAUGAAUUGUACACCGUAGGUCUCACACCAAGAUUAGAAUUAUUCGCUGAUGCCAUUCCAAAACUACUUGCUGAAAAGUCUAACGAGACAAGUGCUCGUAAAGAUGACGAAGAAAAGGCAGAAAACGAAAAUGAUACUGCUCAGAAAGCAGAUGAUAAUGAAGAUUUUAGUUUUAAGAAUUUUAAAGCUCUCGACGCUUUUAAACACAUGGAGGUUUUAAAUGAUCACAAAAACGUUACGGAUGUGCAAGAUUUCAAAGAUCUUGUGGAUAGUCAAGGAUUGGACUACCAGAGAGAGUUGCGUGAUUUUAACUAUAUGCAGGAGAGUGCUAUUUAUACCGGAUUUAAGAGAUCCAAUGAUCACCCCAAGACUGAACGCGUUAUAAGUGCUCCAGAGAACAGAAAUACGAAAAACGAAACUUACAUUGGAAAAUCACGAAGCUAUGACCAAUUGUCCAAACCAUCUAGUAAACUUGGGUCGUCGCUUGAGAGCGUGAAGAAUGCUAAACCUAUCAAAAAUAAAAAACAAACUCCUGCAGUGAUACCAAAAAAGCCUCCGGCACAAAAAACGAAAAUUCAGUCCAGGACUGUGACAAAAUUGAACCCAAAGACUAAACAGCCUACGAGGACUAGAAGAGAACCUACGAAAGCAUUGCAUAAUGAAUUCAAUCUCGACGUCCGAGGAAACCAAAUAAGGUACGACGAUGGUGUCAGGAAUUCAUUCGGAGGCGGAGAUUGGGCAGGUGCACCUGGAGAAGAAACGUUAGAAAUGCUCUACCAAGCAGAAAGGCAGAGGUUUUUACACUUGAAAAUGGAUAUGGAAGCCGAAAUAGAGACAUACAAGGCCAAACUCAAGGAUGUGCAGAUGCUUCACGAACAAGAGAUGUUUUCACUCAAAAAGCAAAACAUCUUGUUAAAAGCCAAAGUUGACGAACUGGCCCAGCUUAAUAAAAAGUCUGCUGAUGCCAGAUCUAAGUAUGAUCCUAAAAUCAUGUCUAUGCAAAAAGAAUUGGAGCGGCAGGAGAAUAUGAUCAGCACUUACGAGUCAGAAAACAAAAAAUUAAUGCAGGAAGUGAAGCAGUUGCAGAGUGAACUUAAGUCUACUAAUCAGCAGAAGCAAAAAGUUACUGUGGGAGACAACGCGAAUAAUAAUAAUCAAGAUCUCUUAGAAAAGUUGAAGGAUUUACAAGAAGAAAACGUGAAGCUGACUAUCGAAUUGUCUGACUUAAGGCAAAAGAAUAAUGAUUUUUCAUUGAAAAACGAAGAUGUGACGCAACAAAAUAGUCUUCUUCAAGAGGAACUAGAGAUGAUAAAGGAUCAAUUGAGAGCAAAGAAUGACUUUAUUAAUGAUAGGUUACAAGCAAUGACGACCAAUGAGUUAGAUCUGAGAAGACAAGUGGAAGAUUUGAAAGUAGAAUUACAUUCCAAAACUGAACAGCUGAAAUUUGUCAGAGAUGAUUAUGAAAAAUUCCAACAAAGCGUAUCACCUAUAGAGAAAGAACUUUUAGAUCUAAGAACGAAAUGUACAUAUUACCAAGAAAAAUUACAGACUGCUAAGCACAACUGCGAACGAGAGAAGCAGCUUACCCAGAAGCUUAAAGACCAGGUUAUCUUGGACAACAAGAACAUCAUGGAUCUUAACCGUCAAGUUCGGGAGAUGGAGCGUAUUCUAAAGCGAAAGAAUCCUGACUCUGUAUCUGCAUUGAUUCUCACUGCUAACUCUGAAAACGAGAAACUGAAUCUCGAGAAAGUAAAACUCCUGGAGGAUCGAAUCUCUUUCCUUGAAAGCGAAAUCAAGGCGAAGGAAGACAUGGCGCAAGCCAAACUGUCGGAUAUACAGAAAAAGUUUACUGACAUGAAGGACAAGUAUUCGUCGCAGGUUGCCGAUCUGGAGCACAAGUUAAAGAUAUCUCCGCGAGAGAGAAAGAUCUACGGCGAUGCUAGCACUCAAACCAUGCAUCGAAGUCUAGAGAGCCGGGGCUCGGAACCAAAUCUAGCCGAGAAAGGCAUGUUGAACAUCAACAAAGCAGGACCAAAGUCUCAGAAUCUCAAGGAAGAUACGCAUCUCAUAGCUACGAUCCGCGGUUUGAAAAUGGAGUUGGCGAAUAAAGACAAGACUGUAUCCAAACUAACUAAAGAGUUUCAGGAAAUACAGAAGACGAAUCGAAAACUGCAGAAGGAGCGAGAGAAGUUGCUGAACGAGCGGCGCAACAUGGAGAAGUUUAACAAUAAAGUUAUGACCUCGUCCGACUCGAAACUCUCGAGUCUGAAAGCGAACGAGGGUAACGACCCGAACUCGAAUUUCUAUCAAAACGGACUUUCGAACGGUAAGAAACUAUCGACUUCUCAACACAAGUUAAACGAUCCUUCGCAAAUCAUGACAGAGAAUAGUGAAACUAAUAAUAGACUGAAGAAACUGACGAACGAAAACGAUAUCCUGAAAGAAGAGCUUAGCAGGAUUAACAAGGACUUUGUGGCGUUAAAAAAUAAAAGAUUACAGGAUCUGAAUCUGUUGCAAGAAGAACAUGAAAAGGAGAUAGCAUUGAUUGUUAAAGAAUACAGCGUAAAGGUUGGCGAUACGAAGGCUCUCAAGUUGCAGGGCCAGGUUAACUCACAAAUGGCUAUGAUAUCUCAUCUGAAGCAGCAAAUAGAGAAGUUACAGGACUUUAAAGAGCAAGUUAUUAUUUUGAAAGCUGAGAGAGACCACCUGGAAAGCAAAAACAGAAUACUCAAUGAAAAAGUAAAAUAUCUAUCAACACCAAGUUCCCAACAGCUGCAACUUUUGCAAGACAAAAUAACCAUACUUCAGCAACGCCACGAGACGCGUGAGCUUAGUUUGCAGAAGCUCGUGCGUGAUCUGUUGCGUAGCAGGACCCAAGGGUGCAAAGACUGCAAGGGCGGUGGAGGUGGCAGCGAUAGAAACAAGCAGCAUCUCUGUUAUUUCCGUCAGGAGCUUGACAAUAUCCUCGGCACGCUGCAGGACCUCACCAGUCCUUAAAUCGACUUCAGCUCGGAUUAAAUUUAUUUUGAUAGCGAAUUCGCGAAUAUAUGAUUACCCAAUUUAUAUCAGAGGUAAAACGUAUGUUAUUAAAGUAGGCUAUCAGCACGAUCAAUCAUAGUAAUGAUAGUAGUCUGUCAAAUACUUUUCUGCAACUUUGAAAUUUAAACGAGAUAUUUAUGAUAGUGUAUCUACUUUAUACUGUUAUAUAAUGAUCAUAUUGUAGUCGUGAAUUCCCUGUCAAAAAUGUUUCAUCUAGCGGCAGUCGAUUGUAUACUAAACGAUUUUAUGAGCAUACAUCAUCACCAUCUUUGCGAAAUGUGGCCAAAGCAGUUCACAAACGCAAAACUGGAAAUAAAGAAUUCAAAACCAACCUCCUCUCGAAAAACUUCUUGUGAGUAAAGACAAGACUUCGGGACGACUUGGCCUUCCAGUACUCCAUGAUCCCGGAGUUGAACAGAUGUCCGAGUAACCUGUUAAACUUCUCUACGUACGGCGAUGUCUUUGUCAUCAGCAUCACGGCCCAACCAACGCCCAAUGGGCUUUUCCCAAAAAACUACUAACUUCGCAGCCCUCAACGUCUUUGUCAUCUUCGUCGAUCAGCCUUUCGAUGCAAGUUUCAAUGUCGGCAAUGGAUCUUAGUGUUUUCAAGGUCGACAGUAGCUUUUCUAAUAUGUAUUGAUUUUCCUCAGUUAGAACGUGUGUCCUGGUAAACUCGCUUAUCGAGGGAACAAUCCCAGACUUGAUCACUUCCUGGAUUGUAUUUAUAUUAUCGAACACCUCCUGGUCUAAAUACAGCGUCAAAAACUGUACCAGAAAAUUCGCCAGGCAGGUGAACGAUGUGAAUGAGAGAAAGAUAAAAACACCCGUUGGGUGGACCCUGCAGGUAACUUGUGGAUCGAUUUUCCCAGAACGAUCGUCGUCACGUUCAUCGUCGUCCAGAUGUCGAAUCUCAUUAGUCGAAUGCUGAGAAGAAGAGAAGCGAAAAAAGCCGCAAGCACUGCUAUCAAGAUGGCGAAGUUUUUGGAUAUUUUUGCGUUGUAAUAGCCCAACUCUCGGACUAUCACGUGGACCGAGGCACGGUGAAUGAAACGCGUCGGCUCACCUAUCAAUUCCUUGGUGGAUGCAAAGCCAACGGUGUAGUAAAAGUUAUUGAGAAAGUCUAGAUGAUUAUUAUCGAGGACGUGAAGAUCUUUUUCAUCGAUCUAGUGAGGGUCAAGAGUAAAGUUCAAGGUGCGCGCAAAAAAGUUCGAGAGGUAUACCCCAAAGCCAAAGAGGCUGUUCCACGAAUUUCGACUAGCCUUGGAUUUUAUCAUGACUGAUAGAAUCUCCUCGAAGUAACCCGACUUCAGGUUGAAGCCGUAAAGGUUUCGUAGUUUGUCGGGAAAAAGUUCCUCGUCAGAGUUAAAACGUUCUUUUUUGUAGCUGCGUAGGAAUGGGUUGUAACGAUGAACUGCGAUUUCCAAAUUUGUUGGAAUAGAAUACCUCAGUGAAUGACGUUGUCCUGUAUCCUUCGGAAUUUCGAUCACCGUCACGUCGAGGAACUUGUAAGUCCAGCUGUACUUGAGAAACUCUAGGAGAUCGGAAUCUUCAGGGUCGUUUACUAGAAGUAUUAGGCACUUUGGUCGCGUACUUUCGACGUGGAUAUUUACUAAAAAUUCUAUCUUUUCAAUGAGUUCUUGAACAGCAGAUUUAUUGUCUUCACUUAUUGCGAAAAUAACCUUAAGGAACAUUCGUUCCGAUGUCUGUGAAAGUACAAGCUCCAAUUUUCGAUCAAUUAAUUCUUCUGUGUCUAUCACGAGUGAUGGGAACGCUUUUAUUAUGCGCUGCAUCAAUAAAAGGCCAUUAUUGUCAUGAGAGUUGAACGAUUUUCCGAUUAUCGUUACCCGAAUAGAUUGUCGAUUUUUCGAAAUA